AAGUAGUAUCUAUAUACUAAAAACUGUAUAAACUAUAAAGAACAAAAACAGUAGUUUGAAUUUUGUUCUAUUACUCAUGUACAAGCAGCUCCCAUGAAAGAAAAGUGUUUUACAAAGCCAUGCCAAAAUUGAAAACCCUGUCUAUUUUGGUGACACAUUACUCUAUUCAUUACUUGCUUAGAUCUAGAUUCCAGAUUGUUCAGAUUUUAGGCCUGCUCUAUAUUUGUUCAAUUUAGGGAAGAGAUGGAGUGGCAAAAUCUAUAUCUACCUUCUACCCUACCUCUUUUCAGUCAAUUCAACAACAAUACAAUUUCACCAUAUAUAAACAUACCAGGGUCAACUAUCAAGUUGUUCAAGUCCCAAAUUCUGCCGAACAAGAAAUAAGAUUUGUUUCAUACAACAUUUGGUAAAUCAUAAUGUUAACAGCACCAAUCUAUAAAUUCUUUUUAUUAUUAAUCCGUCACUUAAAUUCUAAUGAGAACCCUAGCUCUGAGUUGCAAAGAACUCAAAUAAAACUACUAAAAGCAAAUCAACUGAUCAUCACAACAGACAUCACUGACAUGAUUGAAGAAAAAGUUUGAAAACCCUCCUCCAAUGAGUUAGGCUGUUGUAGAAUUAUAUUUUCUCCAAACGACAACCAGAGUUUAUUUUAGUCUAGAUUAGCUGGCUCGCUGUAAGGUAAUAAUCCCAUGAACUAUGUCAUCAACAUUGUCCAUUAUGUUAGACGGAAUGUAAAGUUUCUGUGUUAAUGUUCGUCAUAUAAACGGUAAACCUGAUUAGACCUUUUCUAAUAGUCAUGUAUAAUCAUAAAAAUAACCCUAACAGAUCAUUAGAUUUGCAUAUAAGAGGCGAAAUUAGAAGGUAAAGCAGUUCAAUCAACAAUUUCAACUUUUAGUGAUGUCCUUAAUUUAAUGAUACUACAACUUCAACCCUAAUCCUAUGAUAUUUAAGUGUUACUAGAUUAUUGUCUAAACCAUGCCUUCCCGAUGAAAAUUUUGGGAGGAGUGGGCAUGCACUGACCGCCAAAACAGCAAAUCAAACUUCAUUUUUUUUUAUGAUACUGUCAAGGCCAACUCUCGCACACCUCGAAUAUUGCACAGGAUACCUACUAGGCUGCUACCUCCACCAGCAUAAAUAUAAGGUAACCUCAUCCACCAAAAUUUGAACAUAAGGGAAGAAAUCACCAAGUGCUUUUUUUGCCUCAGCUGGAAUUUGAAUAAGAAACCUCAUUGUUCUCCAUUCACUUCAUUGACCACUAGGCCACAUCCUUGCGUGUUGAACGUGUACACAUACAGAAGCUGAAAGACCAAAUUUAUGCUACAGUCUAGUAGGAUUUAGAUUUUUUCCCACCAAUUUGCAAGAAACUUUCACUGUGAUAGGUCACACAUUACGAUCUAGGAUGGGUACCUGUUCCCAAUUCGAUUAUAUGUCAAUCAAACGGAACCAUGUUGUAAUACCCUUUAUUUAAAGGAUGCAUAAGUUUUAAAAAAAAAGAAAAAAAGCUGGUGGGCCAUAUCCCAAAAACUAAGGGCAUUACAUCUGAUGUGUUAAACAAAAGGGGUUUGGGCGAGCAAAAAUAAAAAAAAUAAAAAACGAGUUUGAGAGCUUACGGGUUCUGCAACCAAAACUCAACAAAGAAAAAAAUCAAUUUAGAGAGGAAGAGAAAUUGAGACGAGGGGCGAAAUCAAGGGCAACAUACACUCCGAAAAAAGAAAUUCAUCGGAGUUUUGCUAUUGAACUCGAGGUAAGUUUUUUAUGUAGCCUAAACAUGGGUCUUAAUUGGGAAAUUGACACCGGAUAUUGAAAAAUUACUUACCAAAGACUAGUAGUUAGGCGAUAAGGCGUAGUUCUGAUAGGCUGACUAUCUGCUCUAUAAAUUUGCCAAUCGAUUAUGCGCCAGUUACAUUACUCAUAGCUUGGCAAUUAUAAUUUUUCGGAUUUUUAGCCAAACAUGAAACCUCAGGGAUGGAUAUUUUGAAUCAAUUAUGAAUUAUCCUAAAUAAGGAAAUUAACACAAGAUUGAUUGAUGUGAUUAUAAAUUCGAUCGAAGGAGGUCAUACGAAUUGUUCGAGGUGAACAAAUUUGGUACUAUGACAAGUGUACUGUGAAUAAUAAUCUUACCAAAAUUUGUGUUUCUUAACAGGCAUAUUUUAUAAUUGAUUUUGAUGAAACAGGAGUUGUUGAAUGCUUUGAAAUUGCACAUGAGGCAAGUCUUUUACUUGAUAUGAUACUGAAAUGGUCAUUUGAGAUGUUACUACUGUUAUAAGACAUGUUUAGCAUUACUUGAGAUAUGAUUACUGAUGUUAUGGAAGUUCUUCAUUUACUUGAGAAAUAAAUAUUUUGACAUGUGUUUCAUUCAAGUUUAUUAUGCAAUAUGUUUUGAUAUGAACUUAAAUGCCCUAUACUAUUUUGAAAAUGCUUUCAUACGAGUACCUACUAUUUACAAAGAAAGUAUAAAUGGGAGUAAACCUUGAUUUGAAUUCCAUAGCUAACGGCGGAUUCAUUAGACUUGGUGCACCUUGUAUUUAUAAAUUACUGUUACAGCCUUUGCUAGUGGGAAGGUAAAACUAGCAUACAGUUACUGACCUCUCUCAAGUAGAGACCUAUUGAUAUAAUUAUUUGACUCCUUUAGGAGGGGUCCGUGAUUAUUCAAGAUUACAUGAUUCAUUCUUGGAAACCUCCCAAAUAUGUAUUAUUUGAUAUGAUACAAUGCUUAUUGAGUUUAUUACUGGUCAAUUAGUUUAUCUUGCUUACACGAAACAAAUGAUACUGCUUAUCGUUACUGUUUAAUGAAAGGGCAUUUAUUUCAUGAUGUUUUAUGGCUUGUCCUUAUUAAGACGAUUGUAGUUAAGUGUUAUUACUCAUUGAGCUAGCGUCUCACUCGCUAUUGUUUUUCAGAGAACGUAGGUGACGGUGAGGAUUCGUUAGCUAGAGCAUUCAAGUUGGCAUAUUCCUGGUAUUCAACAGAACUAGUUGGUUGAGAGCUAAGGAGCAAGAGAUGAAGUUAACUCAUCUUUCUAGGUCAAAAGGCCAUAAUAUACCUCAAGGUUGACGAGUAAUACAGAUAAUGUUGAGCUUAAAGAAAGUUCCUGUGCAGUCAAACAAAUAAUUUAGAUCAAUAAGUGAAGAAAUAAAUAAAGCACCUAUCGAAAGGGUACAACAGACCUGUUCAUGCAAAACAGCAUUCUGAGCAGCACUCUCAAGAUCAUUAAUACUUUGUGGCUGCAACUUCAAUCCAUUAACAGAUUCCAAAAUGGAUGGUGAAGUAUUAAAUAUAGCCUCAGAAGACCCGUGUUCAGAGGUACGAAAAGAUUCAGAGCAAGGUUGAUCAGAAGCGACCACAGGGAAAAGCGUUCCAUCGCUGUUGCCAGCACGGUAAUGAGAAUUAGCAGUUUUCUGAAAGGACUGGGGCAAAUGUCCAGCAGGAUUCAAAGUUGGCACAAGUGGUGAAGAAUGUGUUGUAGAAAGAACCCCAGGUGGAAGAGGCUGUUCAGUAUGGUCAUCCAUAAGUCAA